CCUACGGGAGGCAGCAGUGGGGAAUAUUGGACAAUGGGCGCAAGCNUGAUCCAGCCAGCCGCGUGUGUGAAGAAGGCCUUCGGGUUGUAAAGCACUUUCAGCGAGGAAGAACGCCUGUCGGUUAAUACCCGGCAGGAAAGACAUCACUCGCAGAAGAAGCCCCGGCUAACUCCGUGCCAGCAGCCGCGGUAAUACGGAGGGUGCAAGCGUUAAUCGGAAUUAUUGGGCGUAAAGCGCGCGUAGGUGGCUUGAUAAGCCGGUUGUGAAAGCCCCGGGCUCAACCUGGGAACGGCAUCCGGAACUGUCAGGCUAGAGUGCAGGAGAGGAAGGUAGAAUUCCCGGUGUAGCGGUGAAAUGCGUAGAGAUCGGGAGGAAUACCAGUGGCGAAGGCGGCCUUCUGGACUGACACUGACACUGAGGUGCGAAAGCGUGGGUAGCAAACAGGAUUAGAUACCCUGGUAGUCCACGCCGUAAACGAUGUCGACCAGCCGUUGGGUNCCUAGCGCCGUGGCGAANUAACGCAAUAAC
rnacentral:rRNA from 1 species